GCCGGGCUCUGGCCUGCCCUUUCCAGCGGUUCGAGGUCGUGGGCCCGGGAGCCCGGGAGCGGCGGAGCGUCGAGCGGGCCCAAGAAGCCUCGUCGGAGGCGCAGGGACUCAACGCAGAAUCCAUCGCUGCCUCACGCCUGCCUCUCCUGUCGGAGGGGCCGCUUUUGUCAACCUAAGAAGACCACAUCACAGUUGAGGACAGAAAGCUCUAAAGGACCCCCAGCCUUGGCGUGAAGGUCAGGGGCAGAUGGACGUCAAGGAAAGUGAAGCUAUCUCCAUUCCCCUUUUCCCCUGGUGGUCGCACCUGCUCUCCCCAUGGCCCCAGGAUUGAGAAGCAGAGCAUAGGGUAGGGACAGAGUGCUUCCUUCAAAGUGUGGCCUUUGGGGCUACCUCACCCGUGUUGCUCUCCUUCCCUUAUCCCCGUUCAUGCAGCAGUGGGGAGUGACUUCUCCUGCGUGGGCUCUCACCUCUCCUGGGUCCUCUGUCUUGUUUUCCUGAACCUUUUUCAUGGGCCUAGAUUUUCUCCUUCUGGGUCCAUCUCAUUAACAGAAUUUCUCCCUGUUCAGCCAGGACAACAUUCUGGGGUUAUCCUUUUCAUGAGGGUUCCUUUCUCUACACAUUGUGCUUCCUGGGUAGGCGCGCCAGAUUAUCAGGCAGAUCUGGCUGUCCAUGCCUUGUGCCCACAGGAGAACCCUCAGUCCCAGUGCCCCUUCAGAUAGCUGCAUGAUUCCCACUGGAUGAGAUGUAGCCCAGGAUAGGGCAGGCCCUGGCCUUGGCCUUGGAAUAAAUGUGUUUCCUUUGA